AUUGAACGCUGGCGGCAGGCCUAACACAUGCAAGUCGAACGAGUGGCGGACGGGUGAGUAAUGUCUGGGCAACUGCCUGAUGGAGGGGGAUAACUACUGGAACCGGUAGCUACUACCGCAUACUAUCAGAUGAGCCUAGGUCGGAUUAGCUAGUGGGUGGGGUAAAGGCCUACCAAGGCGACGAUCCGUAACUGGUCUGAGAGGAUGAUAAGUCACACUGGAACUGAGACACGGUCCAGACUCCUACGGGAGGCAGCAGUGGGGAAUAUUGGACAAGGGGCGAAAGCCUGAUCGAGCCAUGCCGCGUGAGUGAAGAAGGUCUUCGGAUUGUAAAGCACUUUAAGUUGGGAAGCGGUACCAAAAGAAGAAGCACCGGCUAACUACGUGCCAGCCGCCGCGGUAAUUC
rnacentral:rRNA from 1 species